CCUACGGGGGGCAGCAGUGAGGAAUAUUGGUCAAUGGGCGGGAGCCUGAACCAGCCAAGCCGCGUGAGGGAAGAAGGUACAGCGUAUCGUAAACCUCUUUUGUAAGGGAAUAAAGGCGGGGACUAGUCCCCGGCUGAGGGUACCUGAAGAAAAAGCAUCGGCUAACUCCGUGCCAGCAGCCGCGGUAAUACGGAGGAUGCGAGCGUUAUCCGGAUUUAUUGGGUUUAAAGGGUGCGCAGGUGGCCUGUUAAGUCAGCGGUAAAAGUCCGGGGCUCAACCCCGGCGAGGCGGUGAAACUGGCGAGCUGGAGGUGGAGAGAAGUACGCGGAAUGCGGGGGGUAGCGGUGAAAUGCUUAGAUAUC
rnacentral:rRNA from 1 species